CCCUUAGAUGUUCUGGGCCGCACGCGCGCUACACUGAUGAAUUCAACGAGCACUAACCUGUGCAGAAAUGUUCGGGUAAUCUUGUGAAAUUUCAUCGUGAUGGGGAUUGAUUAUUGCAAUUAUUAAUCAUAAACGAGGAAUGCCUAGUAAGCGUGAGUCACCAGCUCACGUUGAUUACGUCCCUGCCCUUUGUACACACCGCCCGUCGCUCCUACCGAUUGAAUGUGCUGGUGAAAAGUUCGGAUUGGGAAUAGGAGACGGCAACGUAUCCUGUUUCUGAGAAAAUCUUUAAACCCUCCCAUUUAGAGGAAGGAGAAGUCGUAACA
rnacentral:rRNA from 1 species